rnacentral:lncRNA from 1 species
UAUCUUUCUUCUUUUUCUGAGAAGUGACGAAGGAAACGUUUUCCGCCGGAGGGUUUAGUCUCUAUGGAAAAACUAUUCACUAAGUUUCCGCUCAAGGUUAAAGAUCAUGUUGUCAGUUGAAGAGGCACUGUGGAAGCUUACAAACGCUACAGGUCCUCUCAAAUUUGAAUGCACCUUAGGGAGUUCUGAUUUUUAGUGUAUAAUAAUAAACUUAGCUUACUUCUCGCAUAACAGUUAUGUUUGUUUGACUCUAAUAACUUGUCUUUCUGCCGUUUAAUGUUUUGAGUAUUGCUCCUUGCUAUAGUGGUAUGAUGGAGCCGCCAAGGCUUAUUGGCUAUAGGAUGAUUAGUUACCCUAGUGGGCAAUUUGGCCUCGUGGACUAUGAUGUAGAUACCGAACUUGGUGACUAGGGUAAUCAUGAUUUCAUUAUUUCCAUCAUUUCUGCAAUCUCAACAUAACUAAAUUAGCACAAUUUUUUAUUUUGCAAGGCCUGGAUGGAUUAAAAUCACAUUGACAUAGAUAAAUCACUGAAUCAUAAACAUGGUGCACUCCAAUACAUACUACCAUUUCCAUUUACGCAAAACAUUAAUGAGUUCCAUGUUUGUUAUAACUUGAUAUGUUGAAAAAGAGGGGAAAUUUGGGUUAUGACCUGAUGUGUG